UUCGUCGCCGUCAAUGCAGCUCGUCGACGAGAACCUGAGUCGGCUCGACUCAAAUCGUUCAAUUGCAUUGCUUCUCUCUUUCCUUUCUACCUUGGUUUCGACGUCUCCGAACUCCCAAUUCUAGGGUUUGUGCUGUAGAGAUAUACGAAAAUGUCUCAGAACGGAAAGCUGAUGCCGAAUCUGGACCAGCAGAGUACCAAGCUUCUCAACCUCACUGUUCUGCAAAGAAUUGACCCCUUUGUCGAGGAAAUUCUCAUAACCGCUGCGCACGUUACCUUCUAUGAGUUUAACAUCGAUCUCAGCCGAUGGAGCCGCAAGGACGUCGAAGGAUCACUAUUUGUUGUUAAGAGGACCACACAACCUCGAUUUCAAUUUAUUGUGAUGAAUCGUCGUAAUACUGAAAACUUGGUGGAGAAUCUUUUGGGAGAUUUUGAGUAUGAAGUUCAGGUUCCAUAUCUGCUGUAUAGAAAUGCUAAUCAAGAAGUGAAUGGUAUAUGGUUCUAUGAUGCUCAUGAAUGUGAAGAGGUGGCAACUCUUUUUAACAGGAUCCUUAAUGCCUAUUCCAAGGUUCCUCAAAAGUCUAAGGUUUCUUCUACAAAGAGUGAAUUUGAGGAGCUGGAAGCUGUGCCAACUAUGGCAGUUAUGGAUGGUCCUCUAGUAUCAUCACCUUCAACUGCUUUGAAUGCAGCUGUUGUAUCGGAUGGUCCUUCCUUUGUGAACUUCUUCGGUGCUGCUGUGACCAUUGGGAACACUACAAAUGCUCCAAUUACCGCACCACCUUACCAGUCUUCUGCCACAAUUCCUUCUACAUCUCUGCCGGUCAAUGAAGCUACUCCCAUUGCUCCUUCCUUGCAGUUCCCCUCUCAUUUAUCUCAUUUAUCAUCUAAAUCUCUAAGGUCUCGUCAUGACUCUCCUGAUUCCAGCAACAGCAGCAACCAAGCCACCAAUCUUGUGAAGCCUUCAUUUUUUGUCCCUACCCUUUCUUCAACAACGAUAAUCCCUCCUGUGUCUUUGUCCACACCAGCUGUCCCUCCACCUCAUACUGUUCUCAGCAUGCAGCGCCCAUAUGGUCCUCCACUGCUACAGCCAUUCCCAGCACCAACUCCACCCCCGUCUCUUACUCCUACUUCUGUACCCCAUACAAACUACGGGCCAGUUAUUACCAGAGAGAAGGUCCGAGAUGCGCUUCUGGUGCUUAUUCAGGACAAUCAAUUCAUUGACAUGGUCUACAAAGCGCUGCUGAAUGCUCACGAAUCGUGACUUUCUGGGUAUGCGGGCCAGGCAUCAAUCUUGUCCCACGCUUCAAAUGGUUCGGUCAAGAACUUUAAUUCGCAAGUUUGGUUAAGUGCUGAACGCGAUGGCUGAUGAUUAUUUGGGUCACCAUGGUUUUACUAGACUGUUGUGAUAGUCAGAAGAAGAAAAAGAAGCUCGUGGGACAAAUUUUAUUGCGAAAAGCUGCCAUAUCAGCAGUGACAUAUGAUUUGCUGGGAAAUAGGGGGACCCUGACUGUAAGAGCAUUUUACUGAAUUGAUUUCGCAAAUUGUGGUGCUUCACGGCGACAGUUCUCUAAUUUACAUGUGUCAAGUGUUGUUGAGCCUGGUUUUUUCCCCCGUGCAAGACGUGUAUAGAGCUACAGUUACUAGAUCCACAGAAAACGAUACUGCACAAUGCUAUUUUCAGAGUGUUAAUGGAGGAGCAUGGUAAAUGAAUUUGAAAUUCAUGCGAUGGUGUAACCUGACCACCGUCGCUGAUUGCUGGAGCUCCGAUGGUAGCCACGUAAUCAAUAGUGGUAAACUCUAAAAGGUGGUCAAGGGAAGUUGAAUUCAAGACUCCUUGGUUCUCCAAAACAUUAAAGACUAGUGAGCCAACUAAUAUUUUAAGAUGUAUAAUAAGUUGUUAAUAUGUGAGCAAUCACUGGUUAAUAUUUGAAUUUGAUUUGUCAAUGUUCAAAAAGCAAGUUGUUAAUUUCUAAAGACCGCUUGAUUCCUUGAUUAUUGGCAAUUUAUCAAUAUUACAUUAAAUAA